GGCAGCUAAGUCAAAUUCAGUGUGUCCUGUUCAGUGGGCCUCACUGGCCAGAUGGCUGCUACAAAGAUUGGGUAGUUCAUGGGCCCCACCUCCUUUCACUGUGGACACUGGGGAUAAAAUGUACUAUCAACAAAU